rnacentral:rRNA from 1 species
UGGGGAAUAUUGGACAAUGGGCGCAAGCCUGAUCCAGCCAUGCCGCGUGAGUGAUGAAGGCCCUAGGGUUGUAAAGCUCUUUCACCGGUGAAGAUAAUGACGGUAACCGGAGAAGAAGCCCCGGCUAACUUCGUGCCAGCAGCCGCGGUAAUACGAAGGGGGCUAGCGUUGUUCGGAUUUACUGGGCGUAAAGCGCACGUAGGCGGACUUUUAAGUCAGGGGUGAAAUCCCGGGGCUCAACCCCGGAACUGCCUUUGAUACUGGAAGUCUUGAGUAUGGUAGAGGUGGGUGGAAUUCCGGGUGUAGAGGUGAAAUUCGUAGAUAUUCGGAGGAACACCAGUGGCGAAGGCGGCUCACUGGACCAUUACUGACGCUGAGGUGCGAAAGCGUGGGGAGCAAACAGG